GACAGUGUGGCAUAGAGGUUUUAGCACUGGACUACGACUCUAGAGACCAGGGUUUGAUUCCUGGCUCAGCCA